CUGAGCUGGCUUUUUAUAUUGAACUAAUUUAGCUCCCAAAAAAGAGAGGGGCGAGAAAAGGUCGCCGGAGUCAACCGAAGGAGAUGCUCGCUGCCGUCGCUGGUGAUCUCAAUCACUGCUCAACUACUAUACAUAUUUAUUAAUUACAUACACAUAAAAAGGUUCAGCCUUUCCCCCUACUUCCAUCGCUUUCAAGCUCCAAGUUGUUGCCCUCGUUCUCGCACGCGCGCUCUUCAAUCUCUCCGAUCCUCGAUCUUCGGGCUCCUUCGUUAACCGGCCCUUUUCUCUGGCGAACCGUUAAGUCAAUACUCGGCACAUCUCCUGUUCUAUGCCUAUUCGCGACGCCGUCUUGGCUUAGACUUUGUGAGUGAGUACGACAGAAAGAGAGAGAGGUUUGGAGUGUGUGUGUGUGUAUGGGCUAUGGCGGAGCCAACAUCAGGUGCAGGUGGUACUUGGAAGGAGAGCAAGAUAUGUAAGAUGGUUUUUUCUGUGGUCGGAAUCAUGUCCACCCUCGUCACCUACGGGAUCUUACAGGAAAAGAUCAUGAGAGUGCCAUACGGGGUUAACAAAGAAUAUUUUAAAUACUCCCUGUUUCUUGUUUUCUGCAAUCGCAUCACAACAUCGGCCGUCUCUGCAGGUGCUUUACUGGCAAGUAAGAAAGCCCUGGACCCAGUAGCUCCAGUGUACAAGUACUGCCUUGUGUCAAUAUCAAACAUACUAACCACCACAUGUCAGUAUGAGGCCCUGAAAUAUGUCAGUUUUCCCAUUCAGACACUUGCUAAAUGUGCUAAAAUGAUACCUGUUAUGGUUUGGGGCACUAUUAUUAUGCAGAAGAAAUACGUAGGACAUGACUAUUUGUUGGCUUUUCUGGUGACCCUGGGCUGUUCAAUAUUUAUUCUAUAUCCGGCAGCAUCUGAGAUCAGCCCAUACAGUCGAGGAAGGGAAAACACUACUUGGGGCGUCUCCCUAAUGAUUGGUUAUCUCGGGUUUGAUGGAUUUACGAGCACAUUCCAAGAUAAACUUUUUAAAGGCUAUGAUAUGGAUAUACACAACCAAAUAUUCUACACAACAUUAUGUUCUUGUAUUCUUAGCUUUACAGGUCUUAUAUUACAAGGACAUCUACUUCCAGCUGUAGAUUUUGUUUAUCGCCAUAAUGAUUGUUUCUUUGACAUCACAUUGCUUUCCACUGUUGCAACCGUGAGUCAAUUUUUCAUUUCCUACACAAUUCGUAAUUUUGGGGCCCUGACAUUUGCCACCAUUAUGACCACAAGACAGUUGGUGAGUAUCAUGCUGUCAUGUGUCUGGUUUGCCCAUCCCCUUAGCUGGGAACAGUUGAUCGGAGCUGUUAUUGUCUUUGGUUCCCUAUAUGCAAAAAGCUUCUUGAGAAAAGCACCUCAACGAUCUUCACCUUCAGAAGCUACAGAAAAUUGAUCUUCUAGGCCAGUGUAGUAAUCAACGAUGAGUUUCAGUCUUACGGCUACUAUGAGAUAUGGCACUCAAUUCGGUCUCUAACUAAGCCUCAUCAGAUGUGGUUCCAAAGGCUUCAGGCGGGAAUGUUUGUUUCGCCCCUCCCAGCCUUGAGCUCAUUAGAUGGUGGUGUUGUCCACUCCGGAGUUGCGCCACCUUCUUAAGCAGAGUAAGCCAGCCUGGCGAUUUGAUUCUUAAAUAAUCUUGGCUGAGGCGUGAUUUUAACUUCCAAUAGCCACGCCUACGUUAGACACGAGCUCCCCACCUCUAGAUAUGGCUCAUGUCGCUCCAUCCCCGACUGGCAUAGAAACGCUUCUGACAAGACAAUCCUCUAACUGGAGAUAAACGGAAACGAAUGAGCUAGUGACACAUAAGUGACCCUUCAACUAUCCUGGGUGCCACAUUGCAGGUAAUUUUUUCUCUAUUUCUGUCUUCCCCCCAACCCAACCCAACCCACCCCACCCUUCUCUCUCUCUCUCUCUCACCGAAAACCCCUCUGUGUCAAACUGAAGACCCCUCUCUCUCUAUCGUACUGCAAGCAAGCAACAGGAAUCCAUCAACAGCUACCAUUAACACAUUGGGGUUUUCGAGCUGGUUCCAUUAACACAAAUACAAAGUUUUGGUAUUCUAUUGUUCGGUAUUUAAUUAAUAUGGUAUUAAAUUUGUUUGGUAUUCUAUUGUUUGUGGUGAUGGGUCAGUUUUGUUGUAAAAAUUGAAAAGAAAGUCCUAUAGAUCCCUCUGAUCAUUAAGUGGUAGAUGGUCCAACUAUUUAGAAAUUAACUCGAACCCAAAGAGAAAAGUACCUUCAUUCUGUAAAAUGGAAGCCAAAAUUUUUUUCCUUUCUCCA